UACGUAGGGUGCGAGCGUUGUCCGGAUUUAUUGGGCGUAAAGGGCUCGUAGGCGGCGUGUCGCGUCGGGUGUGAAAGACCGGGGCUUAACCCCGGUUCUGCAUCCGGUACGGGCAUGCUGGAGUGUGGCAGGGGAGACUGGAAUUCCUGGUGUAGCGGUGGAAUGCGCAGAUAUCAGGAGGAACACCGGUGGCGAAGGCGGUUCUCUGGGCCUUAACUGACGCUGAGGAGCGAAAGCGUGGGGAGCGAACAGG
rnacentral:rRNA from 1 species